CCGGCACGGGUGAGUAACACGUAUCCAACCUGCCGUCUACUCUUGGACAGCCUUCUGAAAGGAAGAUUAAUACAAGAUGGCAUCAUGAGUCCGCAUGUUCACAUGAUUAAAGGUAUUCCGGUAGACGAUGGGGAUGCGUUCCAUUGAUAGUAGGCGGGGUAACGGCCCACCUAGUCUUCGAUGGAUAGGGGUUCUGAGAGGAAGGUCCCCCACAUUGGAACUGAGACACGGUCCAA
rnacentral:rRNA from 1 species